UACGAAGGGGGCUAGCGUUGUUCGGAAUCACUGGGCGUAAAGCGCACGUAGGCGGGUUCUUAAGUCAGGGGUGAAAUCCCGAGGCUCAACCUCGGAACUGCCUUUGAUACUGGGAAUCUUGAGUUCGGGAGAGGUGAGUGGAAUUGCGAGUGUAGAUGUGAAAUUCGUAGAUAUUCGCAAGAACACCAGUGGCGAAGGCGGCUCACUGGCCCGAUACUGACGCUGAGGUGCGAAAGCGUGGGGAGCAAACAGG
rnacentral:rRNA from 1 species